GUGGGGAAUUUUGGACAAUGGGGGCAACCCUGAUCCAGCCAUGCCGCGUGCGGGAAGAAGGCCUUCGGGUUGUAAACCGCUUUUGUCAGGGAAGAAAUCCUUUGGGUUAAUACCUCGGAGGGAUGACGGUACCUGAAGAAUAAGCACCGGCUAACUACGUGCCAGCAGCCGCGGUAAUACGUAGGGUGCGAGCGUUAAUCGGAAUUACUGGGCGUAAAGCGUGCGCAGGCGGUUUUGUAAGAUCGAUGUGAAAUCCCCGGGCUCAACCUGGGAACUGCAUUGGGGACUGCAAGGCUGGAGUGCGGCAGAGGGGGAUGGAAUUCCGCGUGUAGCAGUGAAAUGCGUAGAUAUGCGGAGGAACACCGAUGGCGAAGGCAAUCCCCUGGGCCUGCACUGACGCUCAUGCACGAAAGCGUGGGGAGCAAACAGGAUUAGAUACCCUUGUAGUCC
rnacentral:rRNA from 1 species